rnacentral:pre_miRNA from 1 species
UCUUAUGGAUAAGCAAAGAAAAUGGUUUCUUGAGAUGGAACUUAUUCCUAGUGAAGUUGCUGUGAA